CCAAUAGCGUAUAUUAAAGUUGUUGCAGUUAAAAAGCUCGUAGUUGAACUUCGGGGUUUACCCAUUGGUCAGGCUUAAUUGUCUGUACUGGUGAGAUGAAUCUCUACCUUCUGAGGAACUUUCAUGCCAUUUAUUUGGUGUGAUGGGAAAUCAGGACUGUUACUUUGAAAAAAUUAGAGUGUUUAAAGCAGGCUAACGUCUGAAUACAUUAGCAUGGAAUAAUGAAAUAGGACGGACUGAUUCUAUUUCGUUGGUUUCUAGGAUCACCGUAAUGAUUAAUAGGGAUAGUUGGGGGCAUUAGUAUUCAAUUGUCAGAGGUGAAAUUCUUGGAUUUAUUGAAGACUAACUACUGCGAAAGCAUUUGCCAAGGAUGUUUUCAUUAAUCAAGAACGAAAGUUAGGGGAUCGAAGACGAUCAGAUACCGUCGUAGUCUUAACCAUAAACUAUGCCGACUAGGGAUCGGACGAAGUUAAUUUUAUAAUGACGCGUUCGGCACCUUACG
rnacentral:ncRNA from 2 species